GACGAACGCUGGCGGCGUGCUUAACACAUGCAAGUCGAACGGAGUGGCGAAAGGGUGAGUAACACGUGGGUGAUAUGCCUUGCACUUCGGGAUUAGCUUGGGAAACUGGGUCCAAUACCGGAUAGUGCAAGAUGUGCUCGCGGCCUAUCAGCUUGUUGGUGGGGUAAUGGCCUACCAAGGCGUAGACGGGUAGCCGGCCUGGGAGGGUGUACGGCCACAUUGGGACUGGGGUACGGCCCAGACUCCUACGGGAGGCAGCAGUGGGGAAUAUUGCGCAAUGGGCGGAAGCCUGAUGCAGCGACGCCGCGUGGGGGAUGAAGGCCUUCGGGUUGUAAACUCCUGUCGACAGGGACGCGGUACCUGUAUAAGAAGCACCGGCUAACUACGUGCCAGCAGCCGCGGUAAUUC
rnacentral:rRNA from 1 species